AGAAUAGAUGAACCUGCAGAAGGCCGAACUGACCCGAGGGACGAAACCAAUAAAGGGGCAGAAUAUGGAACCAGAUCCAGAAAGGGGCUGCAGUACAAGGCUACGUCGUUCUGCAAGGUAAACGCUACAUUCAAAGUGAAGAGGUGAGAACAUAAGGCUUUUGAAGCAUACAUGCAAGUCAGGGGAACUAGAGAAGACUAUUACUCAAGUUUAGAGAUGUAGCUGAUAUGCUCUUUUUAUUUCUGUUAAGAACAUGG